CUGGAGCCCAUCCCACGGCGUCAUCUGCGCCUGCCUGUCCUGGCCGACGUGGCUACCCCAGACAAGGCCCUGGGAAGGCUCUCUCCAGUUCAGUGGAGAGGGCCCAAGUCACUCACAGCCCCUGCCAGUGUGCAACUCGGAUCAGACAGGUUGCAGUUGCUGUCUCUGAGUCCUGGGAGGGAUUUGAUCUCUGAGUCUGAGGAGCAUCCCGGUGGGUCAGCAGGGAGGGAAUGCCUGUCUCUGCAGCCGCCCAGCCCCACUAUCACCCACCCAGGAACAGACUCUGACUCGGAAAGCUGUCACCAAAGUAAAUAUAAUUUGGUUCCUGCAAGAAUGAAACACAAAAUGAAGAAGCAGAAAAGAACUAAAAGAAAAAGGUUGGUGAAAUAACACAAAAAGCCUUCAUCAGGAACCUUUCAGAUGAAUGGGAGAUAAUGUA
ensembl:lncRNA